CAGAGAUACACAAAAUGGGUUCCAAUAAGAAGCAUUUGAUACCUCUGGUGAUCGUCUUAUAUCUUAUGCUUUUCCUUUCAUCCUAUGGGGCAGCAAGGUUCUUCAUUCCAAAUGGAUAUAUGAACGCCCUCGAGACGAAGCCAAUUAUGUUGGGACGAAUUAUGCGACGAGAUUUGGCAUAUGGAGGAAAUUAUAGUCCCGGAAAACAGUGAUAUGAUUGUAAGAAUACGAACUACUAAAAGAAUAUAGUGAAUAAGUUCUUAUUUCUUUAUUAAGUUGAAUUCUGUUCGAAUGAUUAAAUUUUAAUCUCGGUGUAGAUUGAAAUCUUGUUCUUCUUAUUUGUAUUAAUAUAAUGUGUUUGGAUGGAUUAUAAAA